CUCCUCCUCUUUCUUCUCCUUUUCUCUUCUCUUCUCUUCUCUUCUCUUCUUUCUUUCUCUCUCUCUCUACCUCUCCCUCUCUUUUUGGGGUUUUAGCGGUUAAUCCCUGCAGUGGCAGGUCCACCUAGGAGCCGGGAUCUUGGGUCCUUUGUCUUUCAGGUGAUGCAGAUCGUGCUGGGGAUCUUGAGUGCAGUCCUAGGAGGAUUUUUCUACAUCCGCGACUACACCCUCCUCGUCACCUCGGGAGCUGCCAUCUGGACAGGGGCUGUGGUGAGUAGAGCAGGACAGUGCUUGACUGCCUGUGAGAGGGGUGGGGCAUUGCUCUCCUGAUUGCCUUCCUCCAACAUGGCGCCACAGAAUGCUGGCAGUCGGAGAGAUCUGAUUAUCUAGGACCAUUCCCUGCCUGUUCAGAUGAGCAAACAGCUGAGGGCGGUGGUGGCAUGUCCUAUUCACACUGUCUGCUCUCCCAUACCCUUCCCAGUGCUGUUCCCACCAGGCUGGCUGCCUCUCCCUGCCUUCAACAGUUAAUGUCAACUAAGGAUCUAAGGACCUGCUCAUCUCCAGAUACUUGCAUUGAGAUGGGGAAGGCAGAGCGUUCCAGAUAGUAUGUGGUCCCCCAGGAAGCAUCACCCCCUGGUUAUUCUCAUUGUCCUCCACAGGCCCUGUACACAAUGGAAACCCAGGAAUUGUUGUCAACAGAUGGGUGUGUGCAGUUUGCACAGGAGCUGGGUAGGCUGGUCAUGGUACCUACACUCUCAGAAUAGCACUAAAACACUCAUAUUUACUGACAGAAGCCGAGAGUAAUUACCUUCACCCAGCCUGUGGCAAAAUACCCAGCUUAAUUACAGAAUUAGCCAAACAGGAUUCAGGUCCACCUGUCCACUGGGACAUACUAGAUUUCCUGUUCUUCAAGCCCAGCUGAGUGGAUUAUUGGGCACUGUUAGGACAGGCUUCUAGACCUAACAGUGCCCACUCUGUAUAGACUCACCCUUCAUUGAGAUCUUCUCCAGCACCCCAUGACUUUUAUCCACAGGAUCCCACCAUCCCUAGAACUUUCAUAAAGCACUUGGUGUUGUUUAAAAAGGAAGGUUUAGAAGGGAAGAGGGGCUCACACCUGGCUUGACCACAAGCUCUUAGGUGUCACUAAAGCAGGGCCUUUUGCAGCCUCAGGAGUUGGAUCCAGGCUCCACCCUCUCAGCAAUUAUCUUACCAUGGAUAAUAAAGCUUAGCAUGAAACCUCCCGCCCAAGCUGUGUGCUGGGGAAGGGCCUGCAUGGAGGCUCUCUCGUGGGAGAGGAGUUGCAUUUCCUGUACUAAGCCUGCUCCUGGCUCAAUCUCUCCCCAGGCUGUGCUGGCUGGAGCUGCUGCCUUCAUUUACGAGAAACGGGGUGGUACAUACUGGGUAAGUUCAGGGAAGGGCAUGGGAGGGGACCAGGUUCAGGCUGGAGGUCACCCCAAUCUCCUGCCCUGUUGCAGGCUUCUCUGGGCCUUGCCCUUUUUUCCCCCGACUGGACUCUGAGAGAGACUGAAACACAAAGAUUUCUCUCUGCCUCCUCCCUCCCCAGGCCCUGCUGAGGACUCUGCUAACGCUGGCAGCUUUCUCCACAGCCAUCGCUGCCCUCAAACUUUGGAAUGAAGAUUUCCGAUAUGGCUACUCUUAUUACAACAGUGCCUGCCGCAUCUCCAGCUCGAGUGACUGGAACACUCCAGCCCCCACUCAGAGUCCAGAAGAAGUCAGAAGGCUACACCUAUGUACCUCCUUCAUGGACAUGCUGAAGAAAAGAGACCAGAAGGAAAUGUUGGAAGUGAGUGGAAUCUAGCCAUGCCUCUCCUGAUUAUUAGUGCCUGGUGCUUCUGCACCGGGCGUCCCUGCAUCUGACUGCUGGAAGAAGAACCAGACUGAGGAAAAGAGGCUCUUCAACAGCCCCAGUUAUCCUGGCCCCAUGACCGUGGCCACAGCCCUGCUCCAGCAGCACUUGCCCAUUCCUUACACCCCUUCCCCAUCCUGCUCCGCUUCAUGUCCCCUCCUGAGUAGUCAUGUGAUAAUAAACUCUCAUGUUAUUGUU
rnacentral:lncRNA from 10 species